rnacentral:lncRNA from 1 species
AUGUAUUUGGGGAAACGCUACUAUCAUAAUUACCCCCAUUUAUUGAAACUCAAUUUCCAUUACUUUCCUCGGAAAUUCAAAAGAGCUUCUAUCUUCCUUUAUGCAAAGUUUCUUUCCAAAACCGUCCUGAAACACACCCAGCGUUUCAACUUCUCAAGAAUCCGUCCAUCGCUGAUCCUUAGACAGAGCUUCCUUCACUCCAGCAGUAAACAACGACAGCAGAUAAGUCGUUUCUCCCCUCAGUAAACCCUCUUUUGCAAGAAGAUGAGCAAUGUUGUUUUCCGCUCUGGGCAUAAAUCGAAAAUCACAGGAUUCAAAACCCAUGCUCAGAUGCUUUGAAUCAUUUAUGAAAACUUCAAUUUCUAACCUGUCUUCAUCUCGCUUUUGCAGUUUAUGGAUUACUGUUUGAGAGUCACCUUCAACCACUACCUUACUCAGACCUUGAUGUAACCCGAGUUGAAUCGCCUGAACACACGCCACCGCUUCAGCAGCAAAAGCAGA